GAGACUCUGUGCGCGUGCAUAUCAAUAAGCGGAGGAAAAGAAACUAACAAGGAUUCCCCUAGUAACGGCGAGUGAAGCGGGAAGAGCUCAAAUUUGAAAUCUUAAAGGGUUUCCCUUUACGAAUUGUAGUUUAAAGAAGUGUUUUCUGUUGGAGUUUCGGUAAAAGUUCUUUGGAAUAGGACAUCAUAGAGGGUGAGAAUCCCGUAUUUGACCGUUACUUUCCAGCUGUGUGAUACACUUUCAAAGAGUCGGAUUGUUUGGGAAUGCAGUCCAAAAUGGGUGGUAAAUUUCAUCUAAAGCUAAAUAUUGGCGAGAGACCGAUAGCGAACAAGUACCGUGAGGGAAAGAUGAAAAGAACUUUGAAAAGAGAGUUAAACAGUACGUGAAAUUGUCAAAAGGGAAGCGUUUGACACCAGUGUUGUUUAGUUGAAAAUCAAUUCAAUAAUUUUUGAUUUUAAGUAGUAUUGACUUCAUCAGCUUGCUGCUUUCUUUACGAAACUUUCUUAAUGCACUUUUCGGUUAACAAGUCAACAUCAAUUUCUUUUGUUGUAAAAGGGUAUGAGGAAGGUGGCUUUCUUUUCGGAGAAAGUGUUUAUAGCCUUGUACCUCUGCAAUCGGAGAGAUUGAGGUCUGCAGCGUAGAUCCUUCGGGGUUAGAUACAUUUGUGCUAAGUUAUAGCUUUUCAUAGACAACUUGUUGACUAUGUUAAGUCUUGUAGCUUACUCGCUUAUGCUAUUUUACCUACGCUUAGGAUGUUGAAGUCAUCGUAUCGCGC
rnacentral:rRNA from 1 species